GAUCAUGGCUCAGGAUGAACGCUAGCUACAGGCUUAACACAUGCAAGUCGAGGGGCAGCAUGGUCUUAGCUUGCUAAGGCCGAUGGCGACCGGCGCACGGGUGAGUAACACGUAUCCAACCUGCCGUCUACUCUUGGACAGCCUUCUGAAAAGGAAGAUUAAUACAAGAUGGCAUCAUGAGUCCGCAUGCUCACAUGAAUUAAAGGUAUUCCGGUAGACGUAGG
rnacentral:rRNA from 1 species